rnacentral:rRNA from 1 species
CAGCAGCAGCCGCGGGAAUACAGAGGGUGCGAGCGUUAAUCGGAAUUACUGGGCGUAAAGCGUGCGCAGGCGGUGUUGUAAGACUGAUGUGAAAUCCCCGGGCUCAACCUGGGAACUGCAUUUGUGACUGUAUAGCUAGAGUACGGCAGAGGGGGAUGGAAUUCCGCGUGUAGCAGUGAAAUGCGUAGAUAUGCGGAGGAACACCGAUGGCGAAGGCAAUCCCCUGGGCCUGUACUGACGCUCAUGCACGAAAGCGUGGGGAGCAAACAGGAUUAGAUACCCGAGUAGUCCCUGUCUCUUAUAC